rnacentral:rRNA from 1 species
CGAUUCCUACGGGAGGCAGCAGUAGGGAAUCUUCCGCAAUGGACGAAAGUCUGACGGAGCAACGCCGCGUGAGUGAUGAAGGCUUUCGGGUCGUAAAACUCUGUUGUUAGGGAAGAACAAGUGCUAGUUGAAUAAGCUGGCACCUUGACGGUACCUAACCAGAAAGCCACGGCUAACUACGUGCCAGCAGCCGCGGUAAU